UACGAAGGGGGCUAGCGUUGCUCGGAAUUACUGGGCGUAAAGCGCACGUAGGCGGAUCGUUAAGUCGGGGGUGAAAUCCUGGAGCUCAACUCCAGAACUGCCUUCGAUACUGGAAAGCUCGAGUCCGGGAGAGGUGAGUGGAACUGCGAGUGUAGAGGUGAAAUUCGUAGAUAUUCGCAAGAACACCAGUGGCGAAGGCGGCUCACUGGCCCGGUACUGACGCUGAGGUGCGAAAGCGUGGGGAGCAAACAGG
rnacentral:rRNA from 1 species